rnacentral:tRNA from 1 species
GUUUUAAUAAUUUAAUAAAAAUAUUAAUCUUGUAAAUUGAAAAUAAAUAAAACUUUUAAAACA